CUACGGGUGGCAGCAGUGGGGAAUAUUGGACAAUGGGCGAAAGCCUGAUCCAGCCAUGCCGCGUGUGUGAAGAAGGCCUUCGGGUUGUAAAGCACUUUCAGUGGGGAAGAAAGCCUUGGGGCUAAUACCCUCGAGGAAGGACAUCACCCACAGAAGAAGCACCGGCUAACUCCGUGCCAGCAGCCGCGGUAAUACGGAGGGUGCGAGCGUUAAUCGGAAUUACUGGGCGUAAAGCGCGCGUAGGCGGUCUGAUAAGCCGGUUGUGAAAGCCCCGGGCUCAACCUGGGAACGGCAUCCGGAACUGUCAGGCUAGAGUGCAGGAGAGGAAGGUAGAAUUCCCGGUGUAGCGGUGAAAUGCGUAGAGAUCGGGAGGAAUACCAGUGGCGAAGGCGGCCUUCUGGACUGACACUGACGCUGAGGUGCGAAAGCGUGGGUAGCAAACAGGACUAGAUACCCGAGUAGUC
rnacentral:rRNA from 1 species